rnacentral:rRNA from 1 species
GAUGAACGCUAGCGAUAGGCCUAACACAUGCAAGUCGAGGGGCAGCACAUGAGUAGCAAUACGAUGGUGGCGACCGGCGCACGGGUGAGUAACACGUAUGCAACCUACCUUUAACAGGGGAAUAACCCGUUGAAAAACGGACUAAUACUCCAUAACACAGGGGUCCCGCAUGGGAAUAUUUGUUAAAGAUUUAUCGGUUGAAGAUGGGCAUGCGUUCCAUUAGCUUGUUGGUGAGGUAACGGCUCACCAAGGCUACGAUGGAUAGGGGAACUGAGAGGUUUAUCCCCCACACUGGAACUGAGACACGGUCCAGACUCCUACGGGAGGCAGCAGUGAGGAAUAUUGGUCAAUGGGCGCAAGCCUGAACCAGCCAUCCCGCGUGCAGGAAGACGGCCCUAUGGGUUGUAAAACUGCUUUUCCAGGGAGAGAAACUUACGCACGUGUUGCGUGACUGACGGUACCCUGGGAAUAAGCAUCGGCUAACUCCGUGCCCAGCAGCCGGGU